rnacentral:rRNA from 1 species
ACGCUCGACACCUACGGGGGCAGCAGUGGGGAAUAUUGGGCAAUGGAGGCAACUCUGACCCAGCAACGCCGCGUGAGUGAUGAAGGUCUUCGGAUUGUAAAACUCUUUAAGUAGGGACGAAGAAAGUGACGGUACCUACAGAAUAAGCCUCGGCUAACUACGUGCCAGUAGCCGCGGUAAUCUGAGCGGGCUGGCAAGGC